rnacentral:rRNA from 1 species
UACGAAGGGGGCUAGCGUUGCUCGGAAUCACUGGGCGUAAAGCGCACAUAGGCGGACUCUUAAGUCGGGGGUGAAAUCCUGGAGCUCAACUCCAGAACUGCCUUCGAUACUGAGAGUCUUGAGUCCGGGAGAGGUGAGUGGAACUGCGAGUGUAGAGGUGAAAUUCGUAGAUAUUCGCAAGAACACCAGUGGCGAAGGCGGCUCACUGGCCCGGUACUGACGCUGAGGUGCGAAAGCGUGGGGAGCGAACAGG